rnacentral:rRNA from 1 species
UACGUAGGGGGCAAGCGUUGUCCGGAUUUAUUGGGCGUAAAGAGCGUGUAGGCGGCCAUUCAGGUCAGCUGUGAAAACUCGAGGCUCAACCUCGAGACGUCGGUUGAAACCGUUUGGCUAGAGUCCGGAAGAGGAGAGUGGAAUUCCCGGUGUAGCGGUGAAAUGCGCAGAUAUCGGGAAGAACACCCGUGGCGAAGGCGGCUCUCUGGGACGGUACUGGACGCUGAGACGCGAAAGCGUGGGGAGCGAACGAGGA